rnacentral:lncRNA from 1 species
UGCACAGGCAGAAACGUGGCCACCACUGGUCACUUCUCCUGUGCAGAAGAUUGCCAUGUGUCCUGUGAUGUUCUGCAGACAUUGCAUCUUGAAUGAACACACAGGAGCCAAUUGCAUCGUGUGCAAAGUGUAUCCAGGUCGGAUUUGUACUGUGAGGACAACUUGAUUUUGGCUCAGGUAUGCCUUCCCAUGGGGUAACAACGUCUCCAAGCAGAUGCUUCCUUAGCGAAGCCAGGAGGAGCAGCCGGACACUGGCCAGAACGUGCAAUAUGAUCUUGCUGCACAAGCCUCCGGUCUCUGCAACGCCCGGGAGCAAA